GCAGAUUCACUGGCAGUAGAAGGUGAGAACGUUCUGCUGGUUCCCUCGGAUGAGGACUGCAGGGCAGUGGAGCCCACAGUAACUGAUGAUUUACCUGAAGCAAGUGUCGCGCUCCAACUCUGAGGCUGUCUGCAAAGAAGGGCGUGUAAAACGAGCGCACCUUCCUCUUGGUCAUCCACUUCACCACCCAGUCGGUAGCAUCCUGUGGCCUAGUCUGCCUCUCCUGAUCCUAGAAGACACAGCAGCUCAACUAAUAAGAGCAGCAGUAGUAUAUCAUGAGGCUGACGUGUUUGGUGAAGGAGCCAACGAAGUCCACCAGUGCAGGUCGCUGGUUUGGGGGCCCAGUGAGGACGAGGCAUUGGGGCCUUGUCAAGUUGACAAAAAACAACACAGUCACACACUGAAUGUUCACAAUGUUACUGAUUAGACAGAUGCUUAUAGUUAGCAGAUGUUUGAGGAAAGCGUUGACUCAAAGGAUUUCACCUAAAAUUUUUCACAUGAUCCUCGACACCGGACAGAGAGCAUGUGUAUGACAGAGCCAUGUUGUACGUUCCUGCCUGAACUGAUGACCCCCAGUUUACCUCUGUGGAUUUCCAAAAAACACUCAGAUGAGGUGGGUGUAAAAAAUUCCCAAAUCAAAACAUUCUGAUUUAAACAUUUUUACUUACUUGGCUU